rnacentral:lncRNA from 1 species
CUCCACCUCCCGGGUUCAAGUGAUUCUUCUGCCUCAGCCUCCCAAGUAGCUGGGAUUACAGGCAUGCACCACCACGCCAGGCUAAUUUUUGUAUUUUUAGUAGAGACGGGGUUUCUCCAUGUUGGUCAGGCUGGUCUUGAACUCCCAACUUCAGGUGAUUCGCCCGACUCAGCCUUCCAAAGUGCUGGGAUCACAGGCGUGAACCACCACGCCCGGCCUAGAGGUCAAUUUUAUAUCCCCUCCUGUUGAAUCUGGAAUAUGUGACUGCUUCACAUAAUAGAAUAUGGCAAAAGUGAUGCUGCUGCCAGCUCUGGGCCUAGGCUUUCAGAAACUGUCAUCUUCUACUUCCUGUCUCUUGGGGUUUUCACUCUUGGAAUCCAGCCACGGUACUGAGAGGGAGGGUGAGCAGCCUGUGGAGAGGCCCAUGUGGAGAGGAACGGAGGCCCCAGCUCUCAGCCCUGGCUGAGCUCCCAGCCAGCAGCCAGUUCUCGCUGACUGCCUGAAUCAUCUUACAAGUGGGCCCUCAAGUCCGCAGAUGAGCUGCCCUAGCUACCACCUUGCAGAGAAGAAACGAACCUUCCCACCAUGCCCUGCCCAAACUGUAGAUUCAGGAGCGAAAUUAGUCAUUGAUGAUAUUUUAGGCCAUUAAGUUUUGGAGUUACAAAGCCAUAGUAACCUGAACAUCUGCUAACUGGGUCCAGGACUGUUACUAUUGCUCCACCUCCUCCUCUUCCUCCUCUCCGCCGUGUGCUUGAGUUGUGAUGUGGGUUGUGGUGUGGUGGUUUAGUGGGUGGGCACCGAGCCACACUACCUGGGCUCAAAUCCUGACUCUCACAUAUCAAUUGUAUGACUCUAAGGAAGCAACGUAGUCUCUCUGUGCCUCAGUUACCGUGUCUGUAAAAUGGGGGUGAAAGUAGUACAGAAUUGUUGGGAAGAUUAAAUGAACUAAGCAACAUAAAGCACGUAGAAAAGCACCGGGCAUGUGUACAAUUAUUCUGCCAAGCCAAGGCCCCAGCCCUCUUGGGUUCUGGGGUGCUGACUCCCUGGGGCCUCCAUCAUUUGAGAUGAUCCCUACCUGGCCAUUUGAGGCCCCAGACUUCCCAGGUGCCACCAGCCUACCUCCCCGGACUAUCACUCUUCCUGCUGGUGUCAGGCUUUGCCCAUUAGGCCAGUCUUGCUCACUCCCAUGACACUUCUGGCUCUGCCCCCUGGUCCUUCCCUGCACUGCUAUAAUUCUGACUUCCUUUUGGCUGGGCUGUUGGGGAAAAAGAGAGAGUGGUGAAGCGGAGGUGGACCCCCGCCAUAGAGGGUGGUGCACUGGUGGGUGUGUUGGGGGAGCUUUAGUUCAUAAACUUUACUGGGAAACAGAAGCCUUAUCAUCCACACAUCUCUUGGGAAGACAUUGAUUUUCUUGCUGACAUGAGUCCAGAGAGUAAGAAACACACUCACAAUAUGAGCAAGGCCUGCCGUGGAAAGCCAGAGAAUUUUCACUAAAUCUUUCUUAGGAAUUGCAAUGAUAGCACGCAGCAGAUUCCUGAGGAAGGUGGCGUUGCGUGUUAAUUAGGUUUUGCCAGAGAAAAAUGAACGUGCUCUAAGACACUUUCCCACGUAUGUGUUCGUGCAGGUUGUGAGAACUCAGAAAAGCUUUGCAUCCAGGCUGUGCCCAGGACUCAGAUUUCACUAGCUCCAGGGGUUCUCUUUUGCAGUGAACACAGUGGCCUCCUCAUUAGAGCUUUUCAAACCAGGGUGGGCACUGAGGAAGGGAUUGAAAGUCCCCUGGGGCAGAGGGACCUUUGAAAUGGGGAGCCACUGCCCCAGCCUGAGAAGCAGAGAACAGUGACCUGGGGGGGCGUCCAUGGGGGUAGCCUGAGUUCCGGAGCUUGGUGGUCCCGCAGCGCUACUUAAAGGUCACUGCACCAUCUCCAGUGAUUCCCUGAGUCUGCCCUGCGGCUUCCAAUUCCCCCAGUGGGCCUGGAAGAACGACCCACUUCAUGCUGGGAAAGCCAUGCUGAUGCUGUUGACCUGCAGGAAUAGAAUUUGGAACCGUAUCCCUCCCUCCAUCCCCUCACAGGAGACAGAAAGCAGGGAGGAUUGAGAGGAUCUGGGCACGCGGGGGUUGCUCAGGAAGCAGGAGGGGGCUGGCUGCAGGGAGAGAGCAGCAGGAGUUCACCUGGGAGAGGAAGUAUGUGAAGCAGGCUUGCCGCAGCACCACCUGGCCACCUGAUCCCCCGGUGGAGUCUCAGGAAUCCCAUUUCUGGAGGCUGAUGGAAUCCAGUGGGAGCCUGACGCUGCCCGGGUGACUGAUGGCCAGGCAGGACCGAGGACCGCGGGAUUGCACUCGGUAGAGGACCCCCUCCCCUAGUGCCUUCGGCCGUCCCCACAGCCGUGCUGAGCUUCAUGAGGUUUCAGGGGAGGUUGAAGACCAUGCUCUGGAUGUGAAGUCAUUCGGCCUGGACUCUGGUCCCGGCUCAGCUGCUCCUGCAUCCCCCCAGUUCCCAGGGCCCCCAUUUGCCCAUCUGGAGACAGGGCCUUGCCCUUCCCAGGCAGGACUGCAGGAAAGCCAUGGCUCUCUGGACUCCAGGGAGGAGGCAGGACAUGUUUAAAUGAGUGGCUUUUGGGCUUGGUGAAAGCCUCCAGCCCGUGGGCACACAAGAAUGGUGAGGGGUGAACUGAUGCAAGUCUGGGGGCAGCGUAGCAAAGUGGAUCUCAAACCCUAAAGAUGUGCAUGCCUUCUGACCCGGCAAUCUACCAGGAAUUCAUCCUAAGGAAAUAAUAUUAAGUUCAUACAAGGCGUGAGUAUAAGGACACUUAUCCCAGCCUUGUUUACAACUGAUACCAGUCAAUGGCAGAUUGCACAUUCACACAAUGGAGCGUGUGGCAGCCAUUUACACAGCGAUGGUAUUAUCAAUAAAGCUGCGAUGAACAUUCUGGUACAUGUCUUUUGGUGGGCAUAUGAACGCCUUUCACUUGGGUACAUACCUAAGAUGGGUUCAAAGGAUUAUGUGUGUUCCAUUUGAGUUGAUGCUGCAAAACAGUUUAUGAGACUCCCACCACCAGUUUAUGAGAACUCCAAUUGUCCUAACAUCUUUGUCAACACUUGGUAUUGUCAGCCUGUAUCGCUUUGGCUCUUCUAGUGAAUGCAUAAAAGUGUUGCGUUGUGGUUUAAAUCUGCAUUUCUAAAUAUAUGCCAACAGAAAAAUGGAUAAACAAAUUGGGAAUCUACAUGGCAAUUAAAAAGAACGAACUACUGAUUCAUGCAACUACAUGGAUGAACCUCAAAAAACAAUUAUACAGA